UGUGAGUGAUGACUCUCUUAACCUGACUUUAAAAUGGAGGCUAAUACUGAUUUAAUGAGCCUGACAC